AGCAGCCGCGGUAAUUCCAGCUCCAAUAGCGUAUAUUAAAGUUGUUGCAGUUAAAAAGCUCGUAGUUGAAUUUCGGGAUUAGUACGUUGGUCGUGCCUUCGGUACGUACUGGUGUUACUGGUUCUUACCUUCUGACGAACCAUCAUGUCAUUAAUUUGGUGUGGCGGGGAAUCAGGACUGUUACUUUGAAAAAAUUAGAGUGUUUAAAGCAGGCUCGCGCUUGAAUACAUUAGCAUGGAAUAAUGAAAUAGGACGUUGACCCUAUUUUGUUGGUUUCUAGGAUUGACGUAAUGAUUAAUAGGGAUAGUUGGGGGCAUUAGUAUUCAAUUGUCAGAGGUGAAAUUCUUGGAUUUAUUGAAGACUAACUACUGCGAAAGCAUUUGCCAAGGAUGUUUUCAUUAAUCAAGAACGAAAGUUAGGGGAUCGAAGACGAUCAGAUACCGUCGUAGUCUUAACCAUAAACUAUGCCGACUAGGGAUCGGAUGAUGUUAAUUUUUUAAUGUACUCAUUCGGCGCCUUA
rnacentral:rRNA from 1 species